AGUGGUAGCGCAGCACCACGCUCUGCGACAGGCUGACGUGGAACUCCUCCAUGGCGGUGACGGACGGGACGUAGGUGCGGGCGUGGGACGCCAGCAGCUCCAGCAGCUCCAGGAACUCCUCCUGGGCCUGGUCUGCGGGGCGCGCAGAACGGCUGAGGUUGGAGGGGGCCGUCCAGCCCGCCGAGCUCCGAGCCCCCUGCAGGCCGCCCGCCCCCAGCCCGGGCCGCCCGGCGCCCACCCGCGUCCCGGGGCAGCCGCGCGGAUGUGGCGCCCCCGGCUCCGCGCGCCCUCCCGCGGCGAGGCGUCAGCGCUGCCGCACGGCGCCCCGCAGCCCCAGGCCCGGCCCCGCGGCUCACGCACAGGGCAGGUACACGUGCGUGGCCCAGCCGCCCCGCUCGUGGGGGAAGCACCGCACGCGGCCGCCGUGCCGGGAGCUGUCGUCCCGCUUCUCGUCCCGCUCCUCCUCGCGGAACAUGGCCAGCACGCACUCGGGGACGGGCAGGCGGCGGCUGCCCCGCGUCCCCCCCCGUCCUUCCUCCUCCUCCUCCUCCUCCUCAUCCUCGGAGCUGCUGUACCCCACGAGCGCGGCGCUCAUGGCGGCGCUGCGCUGCGGGCUCG
rnacentral:lncRNA from 1 species